rnacentral:rRNA from 1 species
GAUGAACGCUGGCGGCGUGCCUAAUACAUGCAAGUCGAGCGAAUGGAUUAAGAGCUUGCUCUUAUGAAGUUAGCGGCGGACGGGUGAGUAACACGUGGGUAACCUGCCCAUAAGACUGGGAUAACUCCGGGAAACCGGGGCUAAUACCGGAUAACAUUUUGAACCGCAUGGUUCGAGAUUGAAAGGCGGCUUCGGCUGUCACUUAUGGAUGGACCCGCGUCGCAUUAGCUAGUUGGUGAGGUAACGGCUCACCAAGGCAACGAUGCGUAGCCGACCUGGGAGGGUGAUCGGCCACACUGGAACUGAGACACGGCCCAGACUCCGACGGGAGGCAGCAGUAGGGAAUCUUCCGCAAUGGACGAAAGUCUGACGGAGCAACGCGGCGUGCGUGAUGAAGGCUUUCGGGUCGUAAAACUCUGUUGUUAGGGAAGAACAAGUGCUAGUUGAAUAAGCUGGCACCUUGACGGUACCUAACCAGAAAGCCACGGCUAACUACGUGCCAGCCGCCGCCGUAA